rnacentral:ribozyme from 1 species
GAUUCGAAGGAAGAGCCACCAAAAAGCAAACCUCCAGGGGAAAGAGAAGGGGACAAAGCUGAAAAGAUGAAGAAAGA